ACUCCUACGGGAGGCAGCAGUGGGGAAUAUUGGACAAUGGGCGAAAGCCUGAUCCAGCAAUGCCGCGUGUGUGAAGAAGGCCUGCGGGUUGUAAAGCACUUUUGUCGGGAAAGAAAUCACAGGGUUAAUACCCCUGUGCUGACGGUACCCGAGAAUAAGCACCGGCUAACUCCGUGCCAGCAGCCGCGGUAAUACGGAGGGUGCAAGCGUUAAUCGGAAUUACUGGGCGUAAAGCGAGUGUAGGUGGCUAUGUAAGUCGGAUGUGAAAUCCCCGGGCUCAACCUGGGAACUGGCAUUCGAUACUGCAUGGCUAGAGUCUGAUAGAGGGAAGUGGAAUUCCAGGUGUAGCGGUGAAAUGCGUAGAUAUCUGGAAGAAC
rnacentral:rRNA from 1 species